GUACACUCCUGCGGGAGGCAGCAGUGGGGAAUUUUGGACAAUGGGCGAAAGCCUGAUCCAGCAAUGCCGCGUGUGUGAAGAAGGCCUUCGGGUUGUAAAGCACUUUUGUCCGGAAAGAAAUCCUUGGCUCUAAUACAGUCGGGGGAUGACGGUACCGGAAGAAUAAGCACCGGCUAACUACGUGCCAACAGCCGCGGUAAUACGUAGGGUGCGAGCGUUAAUCGGAAUUACUGGGCGUAAAGCGUGCGCAGGCGGUUUGCUAAGACCGAUGUGAAAUCCCCGGGCUCAACCUGGGAACUGCAUCGGUGACUGGCAGGCUAGAGUAUGGCAGAGGGGGGUAGAAUUCCACGUGUAGCAGUGAAAUGCGUAGAGAUGUGGAGGAAUACCGAUGGCGAAGGCAGCCCCCUGGGCCAAUACUGACGCUCAUGCACGAAAGCGUGGGGAGCAAACAGGAUUAGAAACCCCGGUAGUCCCA
rnacentral:rRNA from 1 species